GAUGAACGCUGGCGGCGUGCCUAAUACAUGCAAGUCGAGCGAACGGACGAGAAGCUUGCUUCUCUGAUGUUAGCGGCGGACGGGUGAGUAACACGUGGAUAACCUACCUAUAAGACUGGGAUAACUUCGGGAAACCGGAGCUAAUACCGGAUAAUAUUUUGAACCGCAUGGUUCAAAAGUGAAAGCGGGUCUUGCUGUCACUUAUAGAUGGAUCCGCGCUGCAUUAGCUAGUUGGUAAGGUAACGGCUUACCAAGGCAACGAUGCAUAGCCGACCUGAGAGGGUGAUCGGGCACACUGGAACUGAGACACGGUCCAGACUCCGAGGGGAGGCAGCAGUAGGGAAUCUUCCGCAAUGGGCGAAAGCUUGACGGAGCAACGCCGCGUGAGUGAUGAAGGUCUUCGGAUCGUAAAACUCUGUUAUGGUGGAAGAACAUAUGUGUAAGUAACUGUGCACAUCGUGACGGUACCUAAUCAGAAAGCCCCGGCUAACUACGUG
rnacentral:rRNA from 1 species